rnacentral:lncRNA from 10 species
UCCACCCCUGGCUGGUUUCUGCUUCCACCUGCUGAUCUCACAGAGCCCUAGAAGUUUGGAAUUUUAUUAUUCGUUCCAGAAAGGUUACAAAACUUGCCCUAGAUAGCUCAAAACUGGUGAAGUUGGGAUUCUCAAGUCUCACCCCUGCAUCAUAUGCCAUUCUGCCUCUCCAAGGAUGUCUACACAUCACACUGCAAGCUAUUUGGCAUAUGAAGGUCUUGACCUGAGAAAACCAUCUUGGAUAACUGCAGCAAGGAAAAGGAAAAAUGCAACACCUAGGAGAUUUCAGUAAACAGUAGAAUCAUGCCAACCUAAUCUGUGUUAAAAUGCUUGGAAUGUGGGAGCCGCUGAUGAUGCCUCUUGUCUGUGUGUCUGACUGAAUCCUUUCUUUUCUCAGAGCAGCAAAGCAAAGCCUGGGAACCAGGCCAAAUGCCUGCCACUUACCUUAAAUUGAUCAGCCACUUUGAGAUUAAAACCCCUGAAAGCUGCCACACCGUGAAAACAAGGCCUCCUUCACAUUAAAGGCA